CUACGGGCGGCAGCAGUGAGGAAUUUUGCGCAAUGGGGGGAACCCUGACGCAGCAACGCCGUGUGAGUGAAGAAGGCCUUUGGGUCGUAAAGCUCUGUCAACUGGGAAGAAGUUACUGUGCUUUAAUAGAGUGCAGUAUUGACGGUACCAGUGGAGGAAGCGUCGGCUAACUCCGUGCCAGCAGCCGCGGUAACACGGGGGACGCAAGCGUUAUUCGGAAUUAUUGGGCGUAAAGGGCGCGUAGGCGGUCUUGUCGGUCAGGUGUGAAAGCCCGGGGCUCAACCCCGGACGUGCACUUGAAACAGCAAGACUUGAGUACGGGAGAGGAAAGCGGAAUUCCUGGUGUAGAGGUGAAAUUCGUAGAUAUCAGGAGGAACACCGAUGGCGAAGGCAGCUUUCUGGACCGAAACUGACGCUGAGGCGCGAAGGCGUGGGUAGCGAACGGGAUUAGAUACCCUGGUAGUC
rnacentral:rRNA from 1 species